UAAAAGCACGUGAAACCGUUGAAAGGGAAACGCGCUCGGCUAGCAAUGCGCGUCUGUGGUUCAGCCGGCUAGUCUUGUCGAGUUGCCGUUGUGUGGAUCCGAAUGGACUACCUGCGGUGGCGGCGGUGGGCGAGCUAUGGUGCACUCCACGGGCGUGCGCGUCAGCGUCGGUUCUCGACGGGCGACAAGGUGCGUGGAAAAGGUAGCUCGGUCUUCGGACGGAGUGUUACAGAUCCGUGCGCUGGGUUCGUCGUGGGACCGAGGAGAGAGAUGAUCGCUGCGGCACCUGCCUCUCGGGGCUAGCCAGCUGUUGCCAGGUGUGCGCCAGAUGCUGAGGACUGCACGCAGUGCUCGGUGUUGAGGUGUGAUCUGGUGGUGGUGUGGGUAUAGAGGUGCCUAGGACGCUGGCGUCCAAAUGGCCGUGCGCGA
rnacentral:rRNA from 1 species